CCUACGGUGAGCUGCAGUGAGGAAUAUUGGUCAAUGGUCGGGAGACUGAACCAGCCAAGCCGCGUGAGGGAGGAAGGUACAGAGUAUCGUAAACCUCUUUUGUCAGGGAACAAAGGCGGGGACGUGUAGCCGGACUGAGAGUACCUGAAGAAAAAGCAUCGGCUAACUCCGUGCCAGCAGCCGCGGUAAUACGGAGGAUGCGAGCGUUAUCCGGAUUUAUUGGGUUUAAAGGGUGCGUAGGCGGAAUGCCAAGUCAGCGGUAAAAUCGCGGGGCUCAACCUCGCUCCGCCGUUGAAACUGGCGUUCUUGAGUGGGCGAGAGGUAUGCGGAAUGCGUGGUGUAGCGGUGAAAUGCAUAGAUAUCACGCAGAACUCCGAUUGCGAAGGCAGCAUACCGGCGCCCAACUGACGCUGAAGCACGAAAGCGUGGGUAUCGAACAGGAUUAGAUACCCUUGUAGUC
rnacentral:rRNA from 1 species